rnacentral:rRNA from 1 species
UACGUAGGGUGCAAGCGUUAAUCGGAAUUACUGGGCGUAAAGCGUGCGCAGGCGGUUUUGUAAGUCUGUCGUGAAAUCCCCGGGCUUAACCUGGGAAUGGCGAUGGAGACUGCAAGGCUAGAGUUUGGCAGAGGGGGGUAGAAUUCCACGUGUAGCAGUGAAAUGCGCAGAGAUGUGGAGGAACACCGAUGGCGAAGGCAGCCCCCUGGGUCAAAACUGACGCUCAUGCACGAAAGCGUGGGGAGCAAACAGG